rnacentral:rRNA from 1 species
UACAGAGGGGGCAAGCGUUAUUCGGAAUUAUUGGGCGUAAAGGGCGCGUAGGCGGCUUGGCAAGUGGAUGGUGAAAUCCCUCGGCUUAACCGAGGAACUGCCGUCCAAACUGCUUCGCUUGAGACCGGGGAGAGGUGAGUGGUGAAAUUCCCCAGUGUAGCGGUGAAAUGCGUAGAUAUUGGGAGGAACACCAGUGGCGAAGGCGGCUCACUGGACCGGUACUGACGCUGAUGCGCGAAAGCGUGGGGAGCAAACGGG